rnacentral:misc_RNA from 1 species
GAAGCUUUGAUAGGUUAUCAUUGGUUCCAGUUCUAAUUAAAACAAACCACCAGUUUAUGCGAUUAGAAGAUGGACUUCAUCCAAUAUAUUUAUUAACAUGUUAAGAGUGAUCAGCUCUACUUGGUAGGAAAUUUUAACUAAAAAAACUUAUCUUUUUGGUGUGUUCCUGGGUCACAACCUUCUCAAUUAUAUCAUAUUGAGCAGUUGACCGACAAAGAAUAUAAGGGGAUGAAAGCAACCCCGAAGCACAGUUGGACUCCGAAACUCGAGUGAUCAUGUUUUUCAGCAAAAUCCCUUUCGUUCUACUCGUCGCCACUCUGGUAACUUCAUUGUUUCCGCGAGGUGGAUCAGCCGCUACACAAGUAAUCUAUCCGUAUCAGCAAUCUACUAUGCAAUCCGGAAUCGGCAAUCAACAGUCAGCUGUACAAAACGGCUAUGGCAACCAGCAAUAUACUGCACAAAUCGGAUCUAACAACCAGUCAUCAUCCAUACAACAGAUGGACAUAAGCCAACUUCCUCCGUUGUCAACGAUAGAUCGCUCAUCUUCAGUAGAAAAGAAGAAUGUUGCUUUUAUAGUUUUUUUAUCUUCGAACGCAAUUUUUCUUCUUCAGUUAUUGACCAUAUGUAAAAUUAUUAGAAAUUAGACGAUUAUUGUUAAUUUAUAUCAUCACUGUAAUGUGAUUGUCAAUUGUAACUAACAUCAUUAAUUCAUCAACACUUAUGAUUUUUAAAGUUGAUUUACUUCUCAACAGGUUUCUCGGAAGGUGUAUUCACUGCUGUUGAUGCAUUCCCUCAGCAAUAUACAUACUAUCAGCAAUAUGAUGUGCAACACGGAACCGGCAAUCAGCAAUCUCUCGUAAAAAACGGACAUGUUUGGCAGCAACAUAUUGAACAGGUGUGGUCCGUCAACCCACCACCUCAGUCACCAUCUAUAGUAUACUAUCCUAAUAACAAUAACCUUUACCAAGGUCGGCCUUUUUUAACUUAUCUCAAAAAUGUGUUUAAAUGGAAAUUAUGUAUACUAAGUGGAUUUACGGCAUGUUGAUAAUGUCAUUAGUACUCACAGUAUCAGAGUAUAAAGACAAAACAUUGCUACACACUCAAUUUUAUGUGAAUUAAAUAAACCUUUCUUUAUAAAAUAAUGUGGUUUUAUUGAUCAGUGUUGAUUUUUAUCAGUUUCUAGCAU